CGGCCACAUCACUUCCCGUUCGAGCACCGAAGUUAAGCAACGUCGAUCCUGGUCAGUACUUAGAUGGGUGACCGCUUGAAAAUACCAGAUGCUGUAAG